rnacentral:rRNA from 1 species
AUUGAACGCUGGCGGCAGGCCUAACACAUGCAAGUCGAGCGCGAAAGUUCUUCGGAAUGAGUAAAGCGGCGGACGGGUGAGUAAUACAUGGGAAUCUGCCUGGUAGUGGGGGACAACGUUUCGAAAGGAACGCUAAUACCGCAUACGCCCGUACGGGGGAAAGGGGGGAUCUUCGGACCUCUCGCUAUCAGAUGAGCCCA